rnacentral:rRNA from 1 species
CUUGUUCUUUAAAUAGGGACUAGUAUCAACGGCACCACGAGGGUCUCACUGUCUCCUCUCUCUAAUCAAUGAAACUGAUCUCUCCGUGAAGAAGCGGAGAUUUAACUAUAAGACGAGAAGACCCCAUGGAGCUUUAAACCUGACUACACCCCUAUCUAUUAUACCCUUAAAUCAACAGGGCCUUUGUCUGUCGGUUUUAGGUUGGGGUGACCGCGGAGCAUAAAUUAACCUCCAAGAUGAACUGGACUAACCCAUUAUCUAAGAUUUACACCUCAAAGAAUCAGCACACUGACAUAAAAUGAUCCGACAUUCGAUCAACGAACCAAGUUACCCUGGGGAUAACAGCGCAAUCUACUUCAAGAGCCCCUAUCGACAAGCAGGUUUACGACCUC